rnacentral:tRNA from 1 species
GGAGAGAUGACCGAGUGGUUGAAGGUGCACGACUGGAACUCGUGUGUGCGCUAACCGCGCACCGAGGGUUCGAAUCCCUCUCUCUCCGCCA